rnacentral:rRNA from 1 species
AUUGAACGCUGGCGGCAGGCCUAACACAUACAAGUCGGACGGUAGCACAGAGGAGCUUGCUCCUCGGGUGACGAGUGGCGGACGGGUGAGUAAUGUCUGGGGCUCUGCCCGAUAGAGGGGGAUAACCACUGGAAACGGUGGCUAAUACCGCAUAACGUCGCAAGACCAAAGAGGGGGACCUUCGGGCCUCUCACUAUCGGAUGAACCCAGAUGGGAUUAGCUAGUAGGCGGGGUAAUGGCCCACCUAGGCGACGAUCCCUAGCUGGUCUGAGAGGAUGACCAGCGACACUGGAACUGAGACACGGUCCAGACUCCUACGGGAGGCAGCAGUGGGGAAUAUUGCACAAUGGGCGCAAGCCUGAUGCAGCCAUGCCGCGUGUAUGAAGAAGGCCUUCGGGUUGUAAAGUACUCUCAGCGGGGAGGAAGGCGGUGAGGUUAAUAACCUUGCCGAUUGACGUUACCCGCAGAAGAAGCACCGGCUAACUCCGUGCCAGCCGCCGCAGUAA